rnacentral:rRNA from 1 species
UACGGGGGGAGCAAGCGUUGUUCGGAUUUACUGGGCGUAAAGGGCGCGUAGGCGGUCAGCACAAGUCAGUUGUGAAAUCUCCGGGCUUAACCGGGGAACGGCGUCCGAUACUGGAUGGCUUGAGUUUGGGAGAGGGAUGCGGAAUUCCAGGUGUAGCGGUGAAAUGCGUAGAUAUCAGGAAGAACACCCGUGGCGAAGGCGGUUCUCUGGGACGGUACUGACGCUGAGACGCGAAAAGCGUGGGGGAGCGAACAGG